rnacentral:misc_RNA from 1 species
CCAAAAUACAAGCUCAUUCUGUGACAAGAAAUGCGCUUUCUCUUCUCUCUCAUUAUGAGAACCCUUUCUCAAUUCACCUUUCUGCUUCUGUUUCUGUUUUCUUGCACCACCUUCACUAGCACAGAGGCCUAUGAUGCUCUUGACCCAAAUGGGAAUAUCACAAUCAAAUGGGAUAUUAUGAGCUGGACGCCUGAUGGAUAUGUUGCUGUUGUUUCAAUCUACAACUUCCAGCAAUAUCGUCACAUUGAAGCACCGGGGUGGACAUUAGGAUGGACAUGGGCAAAGAAGGAGGUAAUAUGGAGCAUGGUGGGAGGUCAAACAACAGAGCAGGGAGACUGUUCAAGAUUCAAAGGAAACAUUCCACAUUGCUGUAAGAAAAAA